rnacentral:rRNA from 1 species
GAUGAACGCUGGCGGCGUGCCUAAUACAUGCAAGUCGAGCGAACAGACGAGGAGCUUGCUCCUCUGACGUUAGCGGCGGACGGGUGAGUAACACGUGGAUAACCUACCUAUAAGACUGGGAUAACUUCGGGAAACCGGAGCUAAUACCGGAUAAUAUAUUGAACCGCAUGGUUCAAUAGUGAAAGACGGUUUUGCUGUCACUUAUAGAUGGAUCCGCGCCGCAUUAGCUAGUUGGUAAGGUAACGGCUUACCAAGGCAACGAUGCGUAGCCGACCUGAGAGGGUGAUCGCCCACACUGGAACUGAGACACGGUCCAGACUCCUACGGGAGGCAGAAGUAGGGAAUCUUCCGCAAUGGGCGAAAGCCUGACGGAGCAACGCCGCGUGAGUGAUGAAGGUCUUCGGAUCGUAAAACUCUGUUAUUAGGGAAGAACAAAUGUGUAAGUAACUAUGCACGUCUUGACGGUACCUAAUCAGAAAGCCACGGCUAACUACGUG